rnacentral:lncRNA from 1 species
UUUGUUCAAGGUCAAUAUUGCACUCUAAAAACCCUCCCCUAUAAGAGUCAAGAUGACAAUCGCCUGUGACAAGACCCUCGGCUGCUUCAGCCACUGCUUCAUUUCCGUCCCAGAGUUUGAAGGAUGCGUGUCCCUUCAGUCCACGUCACUCUGAUACGAGCUGGUGCUAUCAUAACGCCUGCUCAGAAGGAUCAAGGUCCAAAACCCGACCAUGAAAAUUGGUGGAUACUCUGGAAUGGCGUCCUGGUGUCUGACAUUUACCAAGCACAGAAAAUGCAAGAUCAGUAUAGAUUGAAAACCAUGGAGACACCAAUGAGAGCUUGUUCUAGCCCCA